GUGCUCGCUUUGGCAGCACAUAUACUAAAAUUGGAACAACACAGAGAAGAUUAGCAGGGCCCUGCGCAAGGAUAAAAAAAUAUUGAAGAAAUAUACAAAUAAUAU